rnacentral:rRNA from 1 species
UGCAGAAUCCCGUGAACCAUCGAGUCUUUGAGCGCAAGUUGCGCCCGAAGCCGCUAGGCCGAGGGCACGCCUGCCUGGGCGUCA